rnacentral:misc_RNA from 1 species
GAUGAAGAAACGCAGCGAAAUGCGAUAAGUAAUGUGAAUUGCAGAAUUCAGUGAAUCAUCGAAUCUUUGAACGCACAUUGCGCCCCUUGGUAUUCCGAGGGGCAUGCCUGUUCGAGCGUCAUUAUAACCCCUCAAGCUCAGCUUGGUGUUGGGGCCUGCUGCACUGGCAGCCCUUAAAAUCAGUGGCGGCGCCAUCUGGCUCUAAGCGUAGUAAUUCUUCUCGCUAUGGAGUCCUGGUGGAUGCUUGCCAUCAACCCCCAAUUUUUCUAUGGUUGACCUCGGAUCAGGUAGGGAUACCCGCUGAACUUAAGCAUAUCAAUAAGCGGAGGA